rnacentral:rRNA from 1 species
GACGAACGCUGGCGGCGUGCUUAACACAUGCAAGUCGAGCGGGGUCCGUCCAGUAGCAAUACUGGUGAAGACCUAGCGGCGAACGGGUGAGUAACACGUGAGCAACCUGCCCCGAAGUCUGGGAUAACACCGGGAAACCGGUGCUAAUACCGGAUGUCCUCACCGAGUCACCUGGCUUGAUGAGGAAAGAUUUAUCGCUUCGGGAGGGGCUCGCGGCCUAUCAGCUUGUGGCGGGGAACGGCCCACCAAGGCUUCGACGGGUAGCUGGUCUGAGAGGACGACCAGCCACA